rnacentral:rRNA from 2 species
AUAACGACUCUCGGCAACGGAUAUCUCGGCUCUCGCAUCGAUGAAGAACGUAGCGAAAUGCGAUACUUGGUGUGAAUUGCAGAAUCCCGUGAACCAUCGAGUCUUUGAACGCAAGUUGCGCCCGAAGCCUCACGGCCGAGGGCACGCCUGCCUGGGCGUCACGC